rnacentral:snoRNA from 1 species
CGUUUAUGAUGAAAAAAAAAUUAAAUCAGUUCUGCUUCUGAAAGAGACUGAAGACAACCAAAAAUACCAAAAUCACUUCUGAGAU